GCACGCCAUUGGCUGGCCGCAAGCAGUGGGCGGGAUCUUCUCUCCCGUCUCCGCACGAGGAAAGGGGGCGUGUCAGAGCGAACUACAACGCUUCGUCUUGAGCGGAAGUGACGCGCCGCCGGGCCGGAAGUGGCUGUGUUUUGCUUCUCUCCGGCCAAGAUGGCGGCGUACCUGCAGUGGCGGCGCUUCGCCUUCUUCGACCGGGAGACGCUGGCCGCCGACGCCGAGGGAAGGCCGCUCCUCCUCCCGCCGGGCAUCUCCGCCUGCGACGCCGGGAGGGGGAGCCUCGUCUUCGGGGAUAUGGAAGGGGUGAUCUGGUUCCUGCCCCGCUCCCUGGAGCUCAGCAGCUUCCAGGCCUAUAAACUGCGGGUGACGCACCUCUUCCAGCUGAAGCAGCACAGCA
rnacentral:lncRNA from 11 species